ensembl:lncRNA ELOVL2-AS1 ELOVL2 antisense RNA 1
AGAGUGGAGGACUGGCCUGGGAAAUCGGGCAGAGAGAGGAGUUGUCGGAAAGAACACACCAGAAGCCCCUCCGAGCCCAGACACUGAUAGAAACCCAGCCGCUUCCCAAGCCAAUCUGCAAACCCAGGAGGCACCCACGAGUGCACAGACACACCCCCGGGGUGCAGGCGCGGUGAAGGGAGGAGAGGGGCAAGAGCUUGACCGUUAGGGCCCGAACCCCAGAACUCCCGAGGCAGGAUUUUAUAGGUUCAGAAAGUGUGUCUCAGAGGAGUUAGAGAAGACCGAUUAAUAGAUGACAGUGCUAAAGCCUGGAUCUCCUGAAUCCUGGAUGAAAGUGUCCUAAGUUAGAUUCCUGGGAAGAAAAUUCUGAGACACAUUCUGCAGGAUGAUUAUUAGGGCUCAUCCUUGGUUUCAACACCCAUAGAAGGAAGGGGGAAGAAGAAAUCGAACAGAGAGACAGAAGUCGAGAUGCAUUUCAGGCCAGGACUCUUGGCUGAACCCACAGGAGCUCUGGAGCUAGAAUGGCCCUUCAGAGUUGUCCUGAGUUGGUCUGAGAUGGCCAGUUCUUUAUAUUCCUGCAUGGGAUAGUCACUGGAUGUCCACCCCAGGAAGGGGUGUGGCCAAGACAGUCCCUAAAAUGCCCGCCAGCACUCCCUACACCUGGAGCGACAAGACCAACAUCACAGGGGGAAUGCACUGGGUGAUGGAUCACAGCG